UAAAUUAAAUUUUUUUCAUCUUUGAAAGUAAACUCAAUGUUAAGUCAAAAUAAAGAUAAGAAUUGAACCGCCAGAGGAAAUUGCAUGCUUUGUAGAAUGUCUACUGACCUGCUUGCCGCAGUUAAGAGUUGUUGAACUAAUCAUCAAAGUCGAAAAAACAUCGAAACUUCAAACGAUAUUUAUAAAGAUUUUAUUUAUUAUCCUUAAAAAACUUAUUGAUCUAUUACUUAUUAAAAAACGUUUAUAGGUAAAAACAAACCAAAAAGCUUAUAGGAGAAAGUUUCAUAACAACGGCCGAAAGAGAAGCCAGGUCCUACAUUUAAAGAAAGAUGGCACUCUUUACUUGCACACUGGAGACUUUCGAGCCAGUUCUUUGCUUAAGCGAUAUUUUUUACAGGAAGCAAUUGACGUACUUUAUCUGGAUACAACUUACUGUCAUCCGAAGCACCAGUUUCCUUCGCAGGAAACUGUUCUCGAUCUUAUCAGUAUAAUUGUGUCCGAAACAUUCACUCUUUACUCUGAAGUUUUGAUAGUCAUUGGUUGUUAUAGUUUAGGAAAAGAAAAUAUACUGGCUAAAAUAAUUCAGCAAAACGCCACUUUAAAAAUUGCAGUUCCUUUAGCAAAACUAAAACUUUUGGGCGUCACGCACGAACUUUUACUUCCUCAUUUUACUACAAAUCAUUCAUCUGCUAAAGUCCAUGUAUUGAAAAUCGGAAAGAUUGGGCAGUUUGUACGUGGUAUGUCGAAGUACGAGCCUAAUUGGUCGUUUCUUGAGCGGUAUCGAAGCCGCUGGAAAUUUAAAAAAUUGCUUGCUAUUGUGCCUACUGGCUGGACUACGUGUCUUUUUGAAGGGAUUAACCAAUACGAAACCAAUAAUUUUCUUUCUUGGAUAAAAGAAGGAAAAAAUAUUUUUAAUUCCGAAAAAUUAUUAGAAAAAGUAAAGUUUUUUGCGCAAAAUAAAGGAAAUAUAACGGUAUUGAAUAUUCCUUACAGCGAGCAUUCCAGCUUUGACGAACUGCUGGACUUUGUUUCUUAUAUAAAACCAAGAAAAGUUAUUCCCACUGUUGUGUCAAAGCGAACGCCGGCGGAGAAAAUUACAUGUUUUUUUAAAAAUUGCAUAAAUAAUAGAAAGUCCCUACGAUAUGCUUUUAAUAAACUUUUUAAUAUAAAUAAUAAUAACAAUAACAAUAACCAUAAUGAAGAGCAAAAAGACUUCCUUCCCACUUGCCCCGGGCUUGAACUUCCCGUUUGUUAUGGUGACCUGAAUAAUUCAAAGAGAAUUAAUGAUAAUAACAUUAACAGCAAUAGUAACAGUAGUAAUAAGCGAGCCAAGCAUGAAGUUGAAGCCUCGUCAAGUCCUUCCAGUUCGAAAGUCAAACAAAUUAUGAUUACUUCUUUCUUUUAAAUAAAUCUACUUAGCCCAUUAAGAUUUAUUUGUUAGAAAACCAUUGUAAGCAUCAAAGUUUCGUUUAAGAAGUGUAAUUCACGGAUGGUAGCGGUAUAUAUAGUGUACUGGUAGAUACGCUAUUCCUAAAUC